GGUUAAGCGACUAAGCGUACACGGUGGAUGCCCUGGCAGUCAGAGGCGAUGAAGGACGUGCUAAUCUGCGAUAAGCGUCGGUAAGGUGAUAUGAACCGUUAUAACCGGCGAUUUCCGAAUGGGGAAACCCAGUGUGUUUCGACACACUAUCAUUAACUGAAUCCAUAGGUUAAUGAGGCGAACCGGGGGAACUGAAACAUCUAAGUACCCCGAGGAAAAGAAAUCAACCGAGAUUCCCCCAGUAGCGGCGAGCGAACGGGGAGGAGCCCAGAGCCUGAAUCAGUGUGUGUGUUAGUGGAAGCGUCUGGAAAGGCGCGCGAUACAGGGUGACAGCCCCGUACACAAAAAUGCACAUGCUGUGAGCUCGAUGAGUAGGGCGGGACACGUGGUAUCCUGUCUGAAUAUGGGGGGACCAUCCUCCAAGGCUAAAUACUCCUGACUGACCGAUAGUGAACCAGUACCGUGAGGGAAAGGCGAAAAGAACCCCGGCGAGGGGAGUGAAAA
rnacentral:rRNA from 1 species